UACGAAGGGUGCAAACGUUAUUCGGAUUAACUGGGUGUAAAGGGUGUGUAGACGGUAUAUUAAGUUCGUUGUUAAAUCCAUCGGCCUAACUGAUGGCUUGCGAUGAAAACUGAUAUACUUGAGAGUGGAAGAGAGAAGCGGAAUUCUCGGAGUAGCGGUAAAAUGCGUAGAUCUCGAGAGGAACACCGAUGGCGAAGGCAGCUUCUUGGUCCAUUUCUGACGUUGAUACACGAAAGCGUGGGGAGCAAACAGG
rnacentral:rRNA from 1 species